UAACGGUCCUAAGGUAGCGAAAUUCCUUGUCGGGUAAGUUCCGACCCGCACGAAUGGCGUAACGAUGGCCACACUGUCUCCUCCCGAGACUCAGCGAAGUUGAAGUGGUUGUGAAGAUGCAAUCUACCCGCUGCUAGACGGAAAGACCCCGUGAACCUUUACUGUAGCUUUGCAUUGGACUUUGAAGUCACUUGUGUAGGAUAGGUGGGAGGCUUAGAAGCAGAGACGCCAGUCUCUGUGGAGCCGUCCUUGAAAUACCACCCUGGUGUCUUUGAGGUUCUAACCCAGACCCGUAAUCCGGGUCGGGGACCGUGCAUGGUAGGCAGUUUGACUGGGGCGGUCUCCUCCCAAAGAGUAACGGAGGAGUUCGAAGGUUACCUAGGUCCGGUCGGAAAUCGGACUGAUAGUGCAAUGGCAAAAGGUAGCUUAACUGCGAGACCGACAAGUCGAGCAGGUGCGAAAGCAGGACAUAGUGAUCCGGUGGUUCUGAAUGGAAGGGCCAUCGCUCAACGGAUAAAAGGUACUCCGGGGAUAACAGGCUGAUACCGCCCAAGAGUUCAUAUCGACGGCGGAGUUUGGCACCUCGAUGUCGGCUCAUCACAUCCUGGGGCUGUAGUCGGUCCCAAGGGUAUGGCUGUUCGCCAUUUAAAGUGGUACGUGAGCUGGGUUUAAAACGUCGUGAGACAGUUUGGUCCCUAUCUGCAGUGGGCGUUGGAAGUUUGACGGGGGCUGCUCCUAGUACGAGAGGACCGGAGUGGACGAACCUCUGGUGUACCGGUUGUAACGCCAGUUGCAUAGCCGGGUAGCUAAGUUCGGAAGAGAUAAGCGCUGAAAGCAUCUAAGCGCGAAACUCGCCUGAAGAUGAGACUUCCCUUGCGGUUUAACCGCACUAAAGAGUCGUUCGAGACCAGGACGUUGAUAGGUGGGGUGUGGAAGCGCGGUAACGCGUGAAGCUAACCCAUACUAAUUGCUCGUGAGGCUUGACUCU
rnacentral:rRNA from 1 species